rnacentral:tRNA from 1 species
GCGAAAGUGGCGGAACUGGCAGACGCGCUGGACUUAGGAUCCAGUGGGGCGACCCGUAGGGGUUCAAAUCCCCUCUUUCGUACCA